CUGACAAUUCCAUGGAGGAAUGGAAAAACAAUAUUUAUAACAAGAAGUAAUUGUAACAGGAUGCUGUUACGAAGUCUCCCAAACAAAGCUCCCAUAACUUGCCAUUCAUAUGGUCCCAUAUUCAUUUGAUUUGAUUUUUUGUCCCAUACAAGAAUAUAUAUGGCUUAGGGGUGGGGAUCUCCACCAUUUACAAGUAUUCAAACAGGAGGGGGUGGUGGUGACCCCCAGGUACUUUACCUGCAUUUCAUUUGAUUUGUUUUAUUGUCCCAUACAAGAACAUAUCUGGUUUAGGGGUGGUGAUGUUGACCGUUUACAAGUUUUCAAACAAAAGGGGAUGGGGUGACCCCCUCGGGACUUCCCAUGUAUUACAUUUCAUUUGUUUUAUUGUCCCCUACAAGAAUAUAUCCGGUUUAGGGGUGGGGAUCUGGACCGUUUACAAGAUAAUGGCACAUUUUCAGAUUGAACGGGGUGGGGGUGACCCCCAGGAACUUCCCUUUAAUUUUAUUUGAUUAGUUUUAUUGUCCCAUACAAGAAUAUGUAUGGUUUAGGGGUGGGGAUGUUGA
rnacentral:lncRNA from 1 species